rnacentral:rRNA from 1 species
UAACCUACGGGAGGCAGCAGUGGGGAAUAUUGCACAAUGGGCGCAAGCCUGAUGCAGCCAUGCCGCGUGUAUGAAGAAGGCCUUCGGGUUGUAAAGUACUUUCAGCGGGGAGGAAGGGAGUAAAGUUAAUACCUUUGCUCAUUGACGUUACCCGCAGAAGAAGCACCGGCUAACUCCGUGCCAGCAGCCGCGGUAAUACGGAGGGUGCAAGCGUUAAUCGGAAUUACUGGGCGUAAAGCGCACGCAGGCGGUUUGUUAAGUCAGAUGUGGAAUAUGCGGGCUCAAAAUGGGAAGUGGAUCUGAUA